AGCUGCAGGUGUGUCCGGGCAGAGCGGGUCCUCUAAUGGCAACCAAGCAAAUCAACCUCGAUUUCAAACACAACAGUACUUCGGCGGAUGGGCUUCCAGCAGGUCGAGGAGAAGGCCUAAAUCCCAGCACCAUCCCAGUUUCAACAAAGAUGUCAUCCUGCUACCCCAUUCUGCAUGGGAUGAAGUUUGUAAACACAAAACAAAAAGAAAACUUCAUGAGAAUGGCUUAAUUCUAAGCGCCUUUGAGAUAAUGAAAACAUGAGACAACAGGACAGUCAUUGCAGAGAUUCGAGAGGCAUUCCAAAACAAAAUUCCCGAGGAUGUCAGUGUUGAACUGUUGAUGGGAUGUGGCAACAAAUUGGUGUCACCAAAGCUGCGCGAGGGCCAGGAGUUGAAUGGCUUCAUUAUCCAUAAAGUCUUUAAAGCAAAAGCGUUGUACAUACGGCCAGGAAGGGAUCUUCCAUUUCAGUUUGACAGCACAGAUUCAGAUGACUGUGUGGAGAUUAACACCACAGUAGCAUCCAACAACUUCCAAGCUGGAGGCUAUAUGUGUACACGGUCCAGGGGAAACCAAAUUUCAACUCAGCCUCCUGCCACCCCACAUGCUUCCAGUGACAC